rnacentral:rRNA from 1 species
GACGAACGCUGGCGGCGUGCUUAACGCAUGCAAGUCGAACGGAAAGGCCCUGCUUUUGUGGGGUGCUCGAGUGGCGAACGGGUGAGUAACACGUGAGUAACCUGCCCUUGACUUUGGGAUAACUUCAGGAAACUGGGGCUAAUACCGGAUAGGAGCUCCGCUGCAUGGUGGGGGUUGGAAAGUUUCGGCGGUUGGGGAUGGACUCGCGGCUUAUCAGCUUGUUGGUGGGGUAGUGGCUUACCAAGGCUUUGACGGGUAGCCGGCCUGAGAGGGUGACCGGCCACAUUGGGACUGAGAUACGGCCCAGACUCCUACGGGAGGCAGCAGUGGGGAAUAUUGCACAAUGGGCGGAAGCCUGAUGCAGCAACGCCGCGUGCGGGAUGACGGCCUUCGGGUUGUAAACCGCUUUCGCCUGUGACGAAGCGUGAGUGACGGUAAUGGGUAAAGAAGCACCGGCUAACUACGUG